rnacentral:misc_RNA from 1 species
UCCGUGUUCACCACGGCAGUCUCCCUAAAGUGCCCAACUUAAUGAUGGCAACUAAGGACAAGGGUUGCGCUCGUUGCGGGACUUAACCCAACAUGUCACCACACGAGCUGACGACAGCCAUGCAGCACCUGUCUUCCUGUUGUGUUUCCACACCGACUGAGUUACCUCAGUAUUCAGGAGAUGUCAAAUCCAGGUAAGGUUCUGCGCGUCGCUUCGAAUUAAACCACAUGAUCCACCGCUUGUGCGGGCCCCCGUCAAUUCCUUUAAGUUUUAGCCUUGCGACCGUACUCCUCAGGCGGGGUACUUAAUGCAUUUGCUUCGUUUCAGCAGGGGUCAAGACCCGCUAAAACUAGUACCCAUCGUUUACGGCGUGGACUAC